rnacentral:rRNA from 1 species
UACGUAGGGCGCAAGCGUUGUCCGGAAUUAUUGGGCGUAAAGAGCUCGUAGGCGGCUUGUCACGUCGGGUGUGAAAGCCCCCGGCUCAACUGGGGAGGGUCACGCGAUACUGAUCGACUCGAAGGCAGGAGAGGGUAGUGGAAUUCCCGGUGUAGUGGUGAAAUGCGUAGAUAUCGGGAGGAACACCAGUGGCGAAGGCGACUACCUGGCCUGUUCUUGACGCUGAGGCGCGAAAGCUAGGGGAGCAAACGGG